GGGCCAGUGGUGUAAUGGAUAACACGUCUGACUACAGAUCAGAAGACUCUAGAAAAGCCUUUGUCCCA
rfam:Papio anubis isolate 1X1155 chromosome 9, whole genome shotgun sequence.